rnacentral:rRNA from 1 species
GUGCCAGCCGCCGCGGUAAUACGGAGGAUCCGAGCGUUAUCCGGAUUUACUGGGUUUAAAGGGUGCGUAGGCGGGCGCUUAAGUCAGCGGUGAAAUGCGGGGGCUCAACCUUCGAACGGCCGUUGAUACUGGGCGCCUUGGAUUCGGUCGAGGCGGGCGGAAUGCGACAUGUAGCGGUGAAAUGCUUAGAUAUGUCGCAGAACGCCGAUUGCGAAGGCAGCUCGCCGGGCCGAUAUUGACGCUGAGGCACGAAAGCGUGGGGAUCGAACAGGAUUAGAAACCCGGGUAGUCC